UGGGGAAUUUUGGACAAUGGGGGCAACCCUGAUCCAGCAAUGCCGCGUGUGUGACGAAGGCCUUCGGGUUGUAAAGCACUUUUGGCGGGAACGAAACGGCGCUUGCUAAUACCAGGCGCUAAUGACGGUACCCGCAGAAUAAGCACCGGCUAACUACGUGCCAGCAGCCGCGGUAAUACGUAGGGUGCGAGCGUUAAUCGGAAUUACUGGGCGUAAAGCGUGCGCAGGGCGGGUUUUGCAAGACAGAUGUGAAAUCCCCGGGCCUAACCUGGGAACUGCAUUUGUGACUGCAAGGCUAGAGUGUGUCAGAGGGAGGUGGAAUUCCGCGUGUAGCAGUGAAAUGCGUAGAGAUGCGGAGGAACACCGAUGGCGAAGGCAGCCUCCUGGGAUAACACUGACGCUCAUGCACGAAAGCGUGGGGAGCAAACAGGAUUAGAUACCCUGGUAGUCCACGCCCUAAACGAUGUCAACUAGUUGUCGGGG
rnacentral:rRNA from 1 species